UGGGGAAUAUUGGACAAUGGACCAAGAGUCUGAUCCAGCAAUUCUGUGUGCACGAUGAAGUUUUUCGGAAUGUAAAGUGCUUUCAGUUGGGAAGAAAAAAAUGACGGUACCAACAGAAGAAGUGACGGCUAAAUACGUGCCAGCAGCCGCGGUAAUACGUAUGUCACGAGCGUUAUCCGGAUUUAUUGGGCGUAAAGCGCGUCUAGGUGGUUAUGUAAGUCUGAUGUGAAAAUGCAGGGCUCAACUCUGUAUUGCGUUGGAAACUGUAUAACUAGAGUACUGGAGAGGUAAGCGGAACUACAAGUGUAGAGGUGAAAUUCGUAGAUAUUUGUAGGAAAUGCCGAUGGGGAAGCCAGCUUACUGGACAGAUACUGACGCUGAAGCGCGAAAGCGUGGGUAGCAAACAGGAUUAGAUACCCUGGUAGUCCACGCCGUAAACGAUGAUUACUAGGUGUUGGGGGUCGAACCUCAGCGCCCAAGCAAACGCGAUAAGUAAUCCGCCUGGGGAGUACGUACGCAAGUAUG
rnacentral:rRNA from 1 species